rnacentral:sRNA from 1 species
AUCUAAACCCGACAAAAGCGUAAAUACUUUUGAUUAAGACGUUAAAGGUUUUAAAACCUUUAAUGGCUUGAAAAAGAUUGCAGCGAUUGGCGGGACUGCAC